GAUGAACGCUGGCGGCGUGCCUAAUACAUGCAAGUCGAGCGAACGGACGAGAAGCUUGCUUCUCUGAUGUUAGCGGCGGACGGGUGAGUAACACGUGGAUAACCUACCUAUAAGACUGGGGUAACUUCGGGAAACCGGAGAUAAUAACGGAUAAUAUUUUGUACCGCAUGGUUCAAAAGUGAAAGACGGUCUUGCCGUCACUAAUAGAUGGAUCCGCGCUGCAUUAGCUAGUUGGUAAGGUAACGGCAUACCAAGGCAACGAUGCAUAGCCGACCUGAGAGGGUGAUCAGCCACACUGGAACUGAGACACGGUCCAGACUCCUACGGGAGGCAGCAGUAGGGAAUCUUGCGCAAUGGGCGAAAGCCUGACGGAGCAACGCCGCGUGGGUGAUGAAGGUCUUCGGAUCGUAAAACUCUGUUAUUAGGGAAGAAAAUAAGUGUAAGUAUAUGGUCACGUUUUGACGGUACCUAAGCAGAAAGCCACGGCUAACUACGUG
rnacentral:rRNA from 1 species